CUUAUGGUUUAAAGUGUUCACUGUGACGGCAGCCGGAUCACAGAGAAGAAGCAGAGGAUUUUCUUUUUUUCUAAACAGACGUGGUCCACACAGUGGAGAGCCAAAGAGUGAAGAAGUUCAUUGGAAGGAGCUCAUCCUGGUCCAGAGAGCUGCAGAGUAAAGUUCACGGGAAAUAGCUGAGUGAAGGUAGAAAGUGUGUGUGAGCUGUGGAUGUGAAUUCAGCAGCAUGGAUCAGUGUGAAGACAGAGA